GUAGACUUUCUUUGAUACUGUGUCCAAAAGGAGCAGCUUUUACUUUGAAGGGGAGGCGUCUCUGUUUCCUCUUCAGGUUGGAUGAUGGAAGCAAAUGAGUGUGUGAUGUUCUUUCAGUGUUGCACUUUGUAGACGCUCCCUGAGCACUGGUCUCACAGCCAGCUGCACAUAGAGACCAGUGUUGUUAGUCCAGGUCAGAAGAUGACUUGUUGGAAUGAAAAUGAGCUUGUAGUUUGUCUGCUUUAAUAAUGUGACUGGAAAAAGGUGUUGGACUUCAAAUAUGUCCAUUUCUUUCACACUUCACCUUUAAAAGUGAAGCCUUGUGGUUCCUGGAAGGAAAAACACGACUUUUUCAAGUCUUUGUCCUGUUUUUAUGAUAAAUGUACGACUUUAAUGUGAAACAUUCAGAGUUUUUUCUCUUGUUGUGUUUGUUUGAAGCUGCUUCCUGUUGGCUUCAGCUGUUUGGAGUUUCCAUUUUCUAAACUUCUACAUUCUGAACCUUCUUCAGCUCUGAACAGAUGAUGAAACACUGAAUGAUUUCAAGCUCACACUUUGUCUAAUAAACUUACAUCUUUCAUUCUUUAUACAGAUUGGGGCUGUGGUUUGUCAGAGAUCAGCUGUGAUUAUCUGGCAGCAGCACUGAAGUCCAACCCCUCCCAUCUGAGACAGCUGGACCUGAGAGGAAACAACAAGCUGCAGGAUUCAGGAGUGAAGCAUCUGUGUGGUUUCCUGGAGAGUCCAGGAUGUGGACUUGAAACUCUGAGAUUGAGGAGCUGUGGUUUGUCAGAGAUCAGCUGUGAUUAUCUGGCAGCAGCACUGAAGUCCAACCCCUCCCAUCUGAGAGAGCUGGACCUGAGCUGCAACAACAAGCUGCAGGAUUCAGGAGUGAAGCAUCUGUGUGGUUUCCUGGAGAGUCCAGGAUGUGGACUUGAAACUCUGAGAUUGAUGGACUGUGGUUUGUCAGAGAUCAGCUGUGAUUAUCUGGCAGCAGCACUGAAGUCCAACCCCUCCCAUCUGAGAGAGCUGAGCUGACAACAACCUGAAGGAUCCAGAUGUGAAGCAGCUGUCUGAUCUUCAGCAGAGUCCAGACUACAGACUGGAGACUCUGCUGUAAGUAGAGUGAUGGAGUGAGUGGGUGGUGCUGUCAGCAGUAUUGUACUAAACACAGUCAGUAUGAAACAAAGAUCCAGUGUUUCCUGUAAAGCUGCAGCUUCUCAGUGAAG